GUUGAUUUACAUUUUUUUCAUAAAGUUUUUAUCAUACACACACACACACACACACUUUGCCUAGCGGUGUGUUUCUUGGACUUUUUUUAUCAACUUUCUCCUUAAAAGGCCCCUCAUUGUUUUCCGUUUCCAUUUUUGAAACGGUGUUUGCUGUGGGCUCGUUGUUCUCAGCGUUACCCUGUGUUUCCCCAGAACCCAACCUGCUCUCCCUCUUCAUCGCACGCAAACCUGGACAUGGGUGCAGGUGGGGCUGGGUUCCGAGAAGGCAGCUUUCUUCAGAACCAAGUGGGUUCCGGGAAGGUAGCUUUCUUCAGAAACAAGAGGAUUUUGGUGGUGGGUGGUGUUUUUUUUACUGAUAACAAAAAGGAUGACAAAAAUCCUUCUGCCUCAUGCUGCAUGCAAUUGCCUGUGCGUGCUUUUGCACUUUUUUUUUUUUUUUCAUAGCUUGCAUCAAUUGAUGCAUGAAUUUGCAAUAUCUUCUGUCACUGACGGUGUUAUGGUUUUGCAACAUAGACCAGAUGGAAAUGGUUCUGCAGAGGGAGAAGGCCACUCUCCCAACUUCUUGACAGAUUUACACUGGGUCACGGGACACUGGGCAACCACAUGGCUAACUGACCUGUGUGGGGCUAACAGCUGUAUCUGGUGGCCUGCCAGUUAAUGCUAGGCUAACUCCGUGUGUUUACAUAUAACCACAAAGAGAGAGAAAGUGGACAUGACAUUAGCCGGUUAACUGUCAGGCAUGCUAGCAAAGAGGCUGCAUUACUGUUUGCACACACAAUGCAAUUUUUAACAUAAUGUAUAGAAGACUAUAUUUUUUAUUAUUAUCAAUGAAAAGUGGGUUACAAAUGACUGUGCAAUAGGAAAGCCAAAGAUAAUGCUGGAAUUUUUUUCUGUGUUUACAAUCAAUGAUGAACAACUCUAUAGCACGUUUGCUUAUAACCAAAUGUUACAAUGGCACAAGAGUACUGUACUGUCAACUGCUUCGUUUCCUUGUCCACUCUAGAACAAUGCCACUUAGGCUACAGGGUAAUACCAUAAACAUAACAAGACCUUCAUCAUAUGUCUAUGGUAAGUACAGCCCAAUACCAUAGACAUAACAAGACCUUCAUCCUAUGUCUAUAAGUACAGUCCAUUAGUAAGUCCAUCUGCUUUUACCGUUGCUAGUGCCUUUUACAGCUUCUGUACAUUGAGGGGGUGUUCUGACUUCUGUUACAUGUGCAGGGACAGCCUGACUCGAGUGCUUUCAUCACUUACUGUAUCCACUUAGGGUUUUGACUUGUUGUUUUACUUGUUCAUUAGUCUGUAAUAUAUACUGUGUUACUUAAGAAGUGGUCUUGCUUAACCUCUUUCUUGGUUCAUUCAGGAGUUUAAGUUGUGUAUCAUUGUUUCAGUGUAAACCUUAUAAAGUCUUUAAUAUUGUGCAGCUGCGGUAAUGUGGUAAUGUGUGUUAUGCAAUGUCUUAUUUUAAAGAUGGGGUCUAAGGGUAUGGACAGCUCAGCAGAAGUGAGCCAAGGGAAAGGGUGUGGGGUGAAUAGUUCUGCAACAUGUGUGAAUGCUUCUCACAUUUCUUUUGGGGUGAAGAGUCUUCUAAUUCUCUCUCUCUCUCUCUCUCUCUCUCUCUCUCUCUCUCUCUCUCUCUCUCUCUCUCUCUCUGACUACCCCUCCAAUACCAUUUUGUCACUAACUAGCAAUUACAGUUUGCUUGGACACAUUUGGCACCUUGUACUUGUGGCUCUCAGUCAUGUUCAAGGCAAUAAUUG
ensembl:lncRNA